GUCAGAAUGGCGGAGCGGUCUAAGCCGCUGCGCUCAGGUCGCAGUCCACUCCUGUGGGCGUGGAUUCGAAUCCCACUUCUGACA